UACGAAGGGGGCUAGCGUUGCUCGGAAUGACUGGGCGUAAAGGGCGCGUAGGCGGUUUGGACAGUCAGAUGUGAAAUUCCUGGGCUCAACCUGGGGGCUGCAGUUGAUACGUUCGGACUAGAGUGGGGAAGAGGGUCGUGGAAUUCCCAGUGUAGAGGUGAAAUUCGUAGAUAUUGGGAAGAACACCGGUGGCGAAGGCGGCGACCUGGUCCUUGACUGACGCUGAGGCGCGAAAGCGUGGGGAGCAAACAGG
rnacentral:rRNA from 1 species